rnacentral:lncRNA from 1 species
GGAAAGGUUGUUGCGGAUGCUCUACGCUGCUUGGAUCAUUUGUUUGAAAGUCAUCUUAAAUCUCUCUUCUGUUAAUUUUCUUUUUCAUCUAGAUUGAUUGUAUUGAAUAACAAUGAACUACUAGAUAGAUCUGUGCACAAUAAGCCGAUGCUCUGGAUUCAAAAGAAAAAGAAGGAAGCAUGGUAAUGUGCACAGAAAUGGAAUCUUUGGGUGAACAUGUCUGCUCCCUCUGAUCCGAUUCUUUUUUCAUGAUGAGGGGGCCUGGUUUGCACCCACAUUUUUCUUUUUUAUUUUCUAUUUUCUUUCCUGCUUCUCCGAAUUGUUUCUGAAAAUUAUUUACUCUUUUUUUAUGUUUAAACGUUUUCUUAGAUUAAGAUCUCAGGUUUUAAUUUAACUUUGAAUGAAAUUAAUUGGUUUGUUUUUUGUACAAGUUAUAUUGAUGGCCGUCCAAUAUGGUUUCCUGCACUUGAUGAUGCCCCUUGCUCUGUUUUCUGAAGACUUUGGAUCAUUGGAUUAUAGCUCAUUCUUCCAAAAAUUCAAGACCAAUACAAAUAGGCCCAAAGAAGCCAAGGAUUCUAAGAUCUAACACAAAAAUAACCUAAGGAGAACCGGAGCUUUGGAACUCGCCUGAUUGACAAUGAACAAGACUCGCCCAAGCUUGUAUCCGAUAGAGGAGCGAGGUGCACGUUGCCUCCACACAAGAUGAAACUCCCGAAGUUGAAAAACACUACCAAAACCAACUAAGAUAAANNNN